AUUGUUGCCCAAUCAAGUUUUUCCACCAAGAGCCCCCUGAUCAGAACCACUGAUGCACACCCCCUAGGCUGGGGGUUGGACACUCAGGACAUGCACUUCUGUCCUCUGUGAUUUAUUAAAGACAGCAUGUUAGGAGACAGAAGACCCACCAGGCAUGAACUCACCACAGUCUAUCUGGCUACCGGCACAGGUGCCUCCCGGCGAGGCAGUGAUGGAGUCCAAGGCCAUCCUGUGUUGGAGAACAGCUUUUCUGCGCAGAGACGGCCACCCCCACCGUAUAUGGGUUCCUGGGCCUUAGAUCAGAUCCAAGCCAUAGUCUCAACCUACGUUGCAGCGGCAGCAACACCAGAUCCAGGCUGGGGAUGGAACCUUCAUCCUGGCACUGCAGAGACACCGCCACCAAUCCUGUUACACCACAGUGGGACCUCCUGGGGCUCGAAUUUUCUAUGGAUUCACCACGCACCCCAUCUUCUUCUUUACGAAUGUUCCAGGAAAUCUAGUCUACAGCGAGCCGGGCAGCAGAGGCAGAUCUUCACAUGUUAUCAUUGUAUCAUCGACAGAGUGGGUCCCUUUUGCUGAUGUGGGAAAGGAGAACAGGAACAGGAGAAAACUACAGAGGCCAGGGCACCCAGAGUGGACCUGGGGAGGGAGGCCGCACUCAGCCCUGGAGCAGAGGUGGCUUGCUGUGUGGCCUUCGGAGAACCACACAGCAUCUCUGUUCUUCAUUUGUGCUGGAUCAUCGCUAAGGCCUCCUCCCACUCCGGCUUUCUCUGCUGAUGCAAUUUGACAUGGGCCUGGACCAAAUCAUAAAUGCCUAGUUAAUGGGAUAAAAAUGAGUUUGAAUCUGGGAUUCUGGUCAUUAACCCCAUGUCACCAUCUGCUGGAGCAGCGUGAUGACAGGGCCAGGUGAAUUCCAAUGGCCCAACACUUGUUAAACCUGCGGAUUCCCGCUCCAUUGUUCCCCCCUCCCACCCCCACAUCCCUCUGAAUCAGAAUCUCUAAGGGUGGGGCCUGAAAACCUCCCCUCCUUUAGGGGGUUACAGGGGGCUGAACAGAGACCUCACCCAGAACCAGCCAUGUCCCGGGAGUUCCUCCUCUCGCAUCACCAGACAUCAGGCAGGUCAAGCUGGAGUUUUUUUUCCUCUUGCAUGUCCCUCUGCCUGGAAAGACUUCCCCAGGGCUGGCUUCUUCUCAUACGUCACCAGUCAGAGGGGCUUGGCUGGCCUCCCCCUGUCCACCCUCCACUCCCCUCACUGGGCCCUCACCUGCUUCCUUUUCUUCUCAGCCCUAAUCCUGUUUUGCAAAUUCAUCUCGUCUCUGUGAAUUCUGCGCUGCCCCUACUGGAACCCCCCCACCUUGCCCCCCCCAGCCCAGCCCAGAGAUGCUGCCUGGUUUGUUGGAGCUGUCCCCCACCAUGAGGGACAU